AUCCUGGCUCAGGAUGAACGCUGGCGGCGUGCUUAACACAUGCAAGUCGAACGGGAAAUAUUUCAUUGAGACUUCGGUGGAUUUGAUUUAUUUCUAGUGGCGGACGGGUGAGUAACGCGUGGGUAACCUGCCUUAUACAGGGGGAUAACAGUCAGAAAUGGCUGCUAAUACCGCAUAAGCGCACAGAGCUACAUGGCUCAGUGUGAAAAACUCCGGUGGUAUAAGAUGGACCCGCGUUGG
rnacentral:rRNA from 1 species